rnacentral:misc_RNA from 1 species
GAUGAAGAACGUAGCGAAAUGCGAUAAGUAAUGUGAAUUGCAGAAUUCAGUGAAUCAUCGAAUCUUUGAACGCACAUUGCGCUCCCUGGUAUUCCGGGGAGCAUGCCUGUUCGAGCGUCAUUAUAACCCCUCAAGCUCAGCUUGGUGUUGGGGCCUGCUGCACUGGCAGCCCUUAAAAUCAGUGGCGGCGCCAUCUGGCUCUAAGCGUAGUAAUUCUUCUCGCUAUGGAGUCCUGGUGGAUGCUUGCCAUCAACCCCCAAUUUUUCUAUGGUUGACCUCGGAUCAGGUAGGGAUACCCGCUGAACUUAAGCAUAUCAAUAAGCGGAGGA